rnacentral:rRNA from 1 species
GAUGAACGCUGGCGGCGUGCCUAAUACAUGCAAGUCGAGCGAACGGACGAGAAGCUUGCUUCUCUGAUGUUAGCGGCGGACGGGUGAGUAACACGUGGAUAACCUACCUAUAAGACUGGGAUAACUUCGGGAAACCGGAGCUAAUACCGGAUAAUAUUUUGAACCGCAUGGUUCAAAAGUGAAAGACGGUCUUGCUGUCACUUAUAGAUGGAUCCGCGCUGCAUUAGCUAGUUGGUAAGGUAACGGCUUACCAAGGCAACGAUGCAUAGCCGACCUGAGAGGGUGAUCGGCCACGCUGGAACUGAGACACGGUCCAGACUCCUACGGGAGGCAGCAGUAGGGAAUCUUCCGCAAUGGGCGAAAGCCUGACGGAGCAACGCCGCGUGAGUGAUGAAGGUCUUCGAAUCGUAAAACUCUUUUAUUAGGGAAGAACAUAUGUGUAAGUAACUGUGCACAUCUUGGCGGUACCUAAUCAGAAAACCACGGCUAACUACGUG